UACAGAGGGGGCGAGCGUUGUUCGGAAUUACUGGGCGUAAAGGGCGCGUAGGCGGCCUUCUAAGUCGGACGUGAAAUCCCUCGGCUUAACCGAGGAACUGCGUCCGAGACUGAAAGGCUUGAAUCCGGGAGAGGGAUGUGGAAUUCCAGGUGUAGCGGUGAAAUGCGUAGAUAUCUGGAGGAACACCGGUGGCGAAGGCGGCAUCCUGGACCGGCAUUGACGCUGAGGCGCGAAAGCUAGGGGAGCAAACGGG
rnacentral:rRNA from 1 species